rnacentral:rRNA from 1 species
CCUAGCGGCGGACGGGUGAGUAACGCGUGAGCAACCUGCCUUGCACACAGGGGGAUAACAACCGGAAACGGUUGCUAAUACCGCAUGAGACCCCACUAUCGCAUGAUAGAGAGGUUAAAGGGACUACCGGUGCAAGAUGGGCUCGNCGUCCCAUUAGUUAGUUGGUAGGGUAACGGCCUACCAAGGCGACGAUGGGUAGCCGACCUGAGAGGGUGAUCGGCCACACUGGGACUGAGACACGGCCCAGACUCCUACGG